GUCAGAGUUAUACAGUCCCUGCAGCCCCCCCCAACUCUGCCUGGGCCAGAGUUGGAGGCAGCAUUUGGUGUGUGUGCUGUGAAGGAAGAAAUUCACAGCACCUGAGGUAAGAGGGAGGAGGCUAGGCCCUCUUCUCCCCCCCUGCAGCUGCAGGACACUUGGGACAGUGCAUAACUGAACCAAGCUGCCUGUGGCCAAGGCUAGGGGGCUUUUUUCCCCCCACUGCAUUUAGGCUGGUGGGGGGUGGAUUUUAAGGCUCAACAUUUAAGCAGAGCCAAGUGGAUGGGCUGCUGACGAAACAACUCGGAACUAGGGAAAGGAAUCCCAGGAGAAAUUGGAGAUGGACCAAAGAGAGACCCGGAGGAUGUCUCUACCAUGAUCUAAACGGAGGACAGCCAAAAACCCAAGGAGGAAUUAACAUUCCAGGAUGCAGACGCUUGGAAAGCUAAACUACACUGCAGCAGCCUACGAACCGAGGUAUGAGACUGGGAGAGAGAGAUCAUACAGCA